AUGGAUCACACACCGGAGAUCAUCUGCUGGAAUGUGAGAGGGUUGAACAACCUGGCCAAGAGGAAAGUUGUUAGGGAGUUCAUCGCGUCUUUAAAAGUCAACCUAGUUUGCUGGCAAGAAACGAAACUUGAGCUUGUAGAUCAAUUCAUGAUUAUGCAAUGUUUGGGGCCAUCAUUUGAUGGCUUUGCUUAUUUACCGGCGGAGGACACGCGUGGAGGUAUUGUAUUGGCUUGGGACAAUACGCGGUUAUAUGUGGAUUGCAUCCAACUCGAUACAAACUUCCUGACUGGCAAGGUCCACCAGCUAGACGACAACGAGUGGUGGAUCACGGUGGUGUACGCGCCACAAGGAGACAUGCCGAAAACCCGAUUCCUGCAAGACCUUUAUGAUAGAAGGCAGCUUUGUCCAGGGCCUUGGAUGUGCCUCGGUGAUUUCAACAUGAUCCUCAGGGGAGCGGAGAAGAGCAAUAACAACAUCAACAGAGCAAUGAUGAGCAAGUUCCAAAAUUUCGUCGACGACCAUGAGCUCAAGGAGCUGUACAUGCACGGACACUGUUUUACUUGGUCCAACGAGAGAAAUGCGCCCACUUUCACCAAGAUUGAUAGGUUGCUCAUUUCCGUUGAUUGGGAGCUCUCUCACCCAGACUAUCUGCUUCAAGCGCUAUCUACUAGCGCAUCGGAUCAUGGACUUGCCAACUUCAACACAAGUAUUCUUUAA
rnacentral:rRNA from 1 species